UACGUAGGGUGCGAGCGUUAAUCGGAAUUACUGGGCGUAAAGCGUGCGCAGGCGGUUUUGCCAGACCGGUGUGAAAUCCCCGGGCUCAACCUGGGAACUGCAUUUGUGACUGCAUGGCUGGAGUGCGGCAGAGGGGGAUGGAAUUCCGCGUGUAGCAGUGAAAUGCGUAGAUAUGCGGAGGAACACCGAUGGCGAAGGCAGCACUCUGGGACGUGACUGACGCUGAGACGCGAAAGCGUGGGGAGCAAACAGG
rnacentral:rRNA from 1 species